GUUGUGGCUCAGUGGUAGAGCACUUGCCUAGCAUGCAUGAGGCACUGGGUUCACUCCCGGGCACAACA
rnacentral:tRNA from 1 species